rnacentral:rRNA from 1 species
UCAGUAGCGGCGAGUGAGCGGCAAAGCUCAAAUUUGAAAUCUGGCGUCUUUGGCGUCCGAGUUGUAAUUUGAAGAAGGUAUCUUUGGGCCCGGCUCUUGUCUAUGUUCCUUGGAACAGGACGUCACAGAGGGUGAGAAUCCCGUGCGAUGAGAUGACCCGGGUCUGUGUAAAGUUCCUUCGACGAGUCGAGUUGUUUGGGAAUGCAGCUCUAAGUGGGUGGUAAAUUCCAUCUAAAGCUAAAUAUUGGCGAGAGACCGAUAGCGAACAAGUACAGUGAUGGAAAGAUGAAAAGAACUUUGAAAAGAGAGUGAAAAAGUACGUGAAAUUGUUGAAAGGGAAGGGCUUGAGAUCAGACUUGGUAUUUUGCAUGUUGCUCUCUCGGGGGCGGCCGCUGCGGUUUACCGGGCCAGCAUCGGUUUGGAGCGGCAGGAUAAUGGCGGAGGAAUGUGGCACGGCUUCUGCUGUGUGUUAUAGCCUCUGACGAUACUGCCAGCCUAGACCGAGGACUGCGGUUUUUACCUAGGAUGUUGGCAUAAUGAUCUUAAGUCG